AUGACUCUGUGGUCAGCCUUAAAUCUUUCAGUAGAUCAUAUUGAUGUUCUUGUCAGAAAUAUAAAUAUGGGUGAUAGAGAAUGGAGGUUUAGUGGAUUUUGUGGGGAACCAGCAAGAGCAAAAAGGAAGAAUAGUUGGGAGUUGUUGCAGUUUCUUCGAGGACAAUUUGAUAAUCCGUGGAUUUGUGCUGGUGAUUUUAAUGAGGUGCUGGAUGCAAAUGAACAAUAUGGUGGAGUAUACAGGGAGGAGUGGAUGAUGGAAGGUUUUUGUGAAAUGGUGGACUUUUGCCGGUUUUCAGAUUUGGGGUAUGUUGGUCUUCCUUACACGUGGGAUAACCAUCAACAGGGCAUUAGAAACAUAAAAGCCAGGCUAGACCGGGCACUAGGGGAUGAUAAGUUCAUGGACCACUUUGACAAUACCAUGGUUCGUCACCUUCAGAGUACAGAUGCACUACUUAUGAGCAUUAGGCAGUCAAGUUGGCUAAAUGAUGGAGGUGGGCAUCGAACUUUUCAUUUUGAGAAUGCUUGGACGAGGCAUGAGAACUAUAAAGAAGUUGUCGAGAAAGCUUGGGUGCACGGCCAUGGUAACCUGGGGAUCAUGAGUGAAGCUUUAGGUAUUGUGAGAACCAGGUUGCUGGUGUGGAGCAUAAGUGAGUAG
rnacentral:rRNA from 1 species